rnacentral:lncRNA from 1 species
GCUCAUGUCGAAAAACACCUUGCUGAUUAUUAUGGUGCAACCUCCACUAUUGGGUCUCUUUGGAAGUCCAUCAACUAUCGACAUAACUGUUUCAUCACACACCUUGCAUUCCUGCCAAACCAAUGCCUGUGUGUAAUUCUGCUAUUAAUCUCACAUCCUUCACCAUGGCAAAUAGCGGCAUGCCAUAAGGAUGUACAUGUCUUU